GGUCAGCUUCUCUCUCUUUCCCGCUUCCUUGGAUUGGCUUUUUUUUCCUCGCCUUUUGCAUCAAGCUCUACUUCUGCUCUCUUAUCUCAACAUGAAGCUCGUCAGGUGUUUGAUGAAGCUGAACAAUGAAACGGUUUCGAUUGAGCUCAAGAACGGAACUGUCAUUCACGGCACCAUCACAGGGCAAAAAUCCAGUGAGUUUGGAUCACCUUAGUGUGAGGGGUAACAAUAUUCGCUAUUAUAUCCUGCCUGACAGCUUAAAUCUUGAGACAUUGUUGGUUGAAGAGAUGCCAAGGGUGAAGCCCAAGAAUUCAACUGCUGCAGGGCUUUGGGACGGGACGAGGUCGUGGACGUGGACCCGGUCGAGGCCGUUAAAUAUGUUGCUCGUUUUUAAAUUUUAGUUACAGCUGUGGGUGUAGACAGCUUUGUUGUAGUGAGAAUGUGGGUGAUGUUACGUAUUUAAAGGAAUUGUAUUGGUAUUUUACUGCUCUUUGUAUUAUUUAUUGGAAUGGCUUACAUGAAUUCUGAGAUUCCCAGCGCCGGCUGAGGCACGAACAGCCUUGGAUUAUCAUAUGAUCCAAGGGCUAACACAGUACUGUUUCCUUUUAGAUUA